rnacentral:rRNA from 1 species
AUUGAACGCUGGCGGCAUGCCUUACACAUGCAAGUCGAACGGUAACAGGUUAAGCUGACGAGUGGCGAACGGGUGAGUAAUGUAUCGGAACGUGCCCAGUCGUGGGGGAUAACUACUCGAAAGAGUGGCUAAUACCGCAUACGACCUGAGGGUGAAAGCGGGGGACCGUGAGGCCUCGCGCGAUUGGAGCGGCCGAUAUCAGAUUAGCUAGUUGGUGGGGUAAAAGCCCACCAAGGCGACGAUCUGUAGCUGGUCUGAGAGGACGACCAGCCACACUGGGACUGAGACACGGCCCAGACUCCUACGGGAGGCAGCAGUGGGGAAUUUUGGACAAUGGACGCAAGUCUGAUCCAGCCAUGCCGCGUGCGGGAAGAAGGCCUUCGGGUUGUAAACCGCUUUUGUCAGGGAAGAAACGAGUUUCUCUAAUACAGAGACUUAAUGACGGUACCUGAAGAAUAAGCACCGGCUAACUACGUGCCAGCAGCCGCGGUAAUAC